UACGUAGGGUGCAAGCGUUAAUCGGAAUUACUGGGCGUAAAGCGUGCGCAGGCGGUUUUGUAAGUUUGUCGUGAAAGCCCCCGGCUCAACCGGGGAGGGUGGCUGGAAACUGGCGUUCUUGAGGGCGAGAGAGAAGGGUGGAAUUCCUGGUGAUAGGCGGUGAAAUGCGUAGAGAUCAGGAGGAACACCCGUGGCGAAGGCGGCCCUCUGGCUCGACCCUGACGCUGAGGCGCGAAAGCGUGGGGAGCGAACGGG
rnacentral:rRNA from 1 species